rnacentral:rRNA from 1 species
GAUGAACGCUGGCGGCGUGCCUAAUACAUGCAAGUCGAGCGAACGGACGAGAAGCUUGCUUCUCUGAUGUUAGCGGCGGACGGGUGAGUAACACGUGGAUAACCUACCUAUAAGACUGGGAUAACUUCGGGAAACCGUAGCUAAUACCGGAUAAUAUUUUGAACCGCAUGGUUCAAAAGUGAAAGACGGUCUUGCUGUCACUUAUAGAUGGAUCCGCGCUGCAUUAGCUAGUUGGUAAGGUAACGGCUUACCAAGGCAACGAUGCAUAGCCGACCUGAGAGGGUAAUCGGCCACACUGGACCUGAGACACGGUCCAGCCUCCUACGGGAGGCAGCAGUGGGGAUUCUUCCGCAAUGGGCGAAAGCCUGACGGAGCAACGCCGCGUGAGUGAUGAAGGUCUUCGGAUCGUAAAACUCUGUUAUUAGGGAAGAACAUAUGUGUAAGUAACUGUGCACAUCUUGACGGUACCUAAUCAGAAAGCCACGGCUAACUACGU